CGGGGUGUGUCAAGGGUAUCUUUGAAGGGUGUGCUUCAUUCAGGUCUUUAGAGGAUCAUAUCUUAUGUUCAAGCUCGUAGGUUGGUUAAGAGAGGAUGUUUAUCUUAUUUGGCUCAUAUUCAUAGUACUAGUGUGGGUUCACCUUCUUUCUUGGAUUCUGUUCGUGUUGUCUAUGAGUUUAUGGAUGUGUUCCCUACAGAUUUGCCUAGUAUGCCU
rnacentral:lncRNA from 1 species